rnacentral:lncRNA from 1 species
AAGCUGUGUCACUUGGAGAAGCGACUCACCUCUGUGAAGGUCCCCAUCUUUAAAAUGAGGGUGACCACAACAGCACUGCCCUCUGAGGCUGCCAUGAUUCCGUGAGUUCACGAGGGCACUGCAUUUGGUGCCUGGCAAAUUACAGUGCUUGGUGGGUGGUGCCUGUGCCUGACACUCCUGCCCUGUGUUGUUACCUCCUAAUAGCCAGCGAGGGGAGGUGUGCUUUCCUUAUCUCGCACAGGAGGGGACUGAGGCUCAGAUAGUCCAUGGCCACAUGAACUGGGACUCGGAAACAGGCCCUCAUGGCUAGUCCGACUCUCUUCGUCGACACUCAGCUGAAGAACAGCCAAACUUGCCGGCAGAAUGAGGCUGGCUCAGGUGACUAAAGAGGGGGCCGUGCUGUUUGCCAAGACACAGCUACAGGAAGAGGAGCCCGCGGGAGAGUUCGACUCUUUUCAUCGACAACAUUAAUGCCUCAAAAGAAAGAAAAAGGCCAGGCAUGCUGGCUCACUCCUGUACUCCCAACACUGGAGGAUCACUUGAGGCCAGGAGUUCAAGAACAGCCUGGGCAACAAAGUGAGAUCCCAUCUCUACAAAAAAAAUUAGCUGUUCAGGAAGCUGAGGCAGGAGGAUCACUUGAGCCUGGGAGGCCACGGCUACAGGAGCUAUGAUCUCGCCACUGCACUCCAGAAUGGGCAACAGAGCAAGACCCUGUCUCUAAAAAAAUAAAGGAGCUCGUGGAAGGUACACUAUCUUGCAUAGAAGAGAUGCUGAGUUCUUCAUCCCCUAGUGAGCGCCUUUUCCCCACAGCCCCGCCCUCUGUUCCCUUCCCUGAACCAGAGUUGCGAAUUCUCACCUGAUCCUCUCACAGCUGCCAGGUGUUAUCUCUCAGGAAAUAGCCCCCUGUCAUGUGUAACAACUUGAUCUGCCUCUGAGGCCCCUCUGCACUCAGCUGGUGGGAGGAAAGGUCCUCCCUGGGGGUGUGCCCAGGGCUGUGGUCUUCCUUGGGGAGGGAAUGGACUAUCGGUCUUCAGAGCUUGCUGGCAGACGUCCAUCGGGUGGCCCUGUGGUCCCCUGGACUCUGCUGCCCCAAGCUUGGCUGGGAAUGGAGCUGCCCCGUGCGGGUGGCCCCAGGCACCCUCAGCUGGCUGCUCCAGCAUCUGCCAUCCCUGGCUGCCAUCUGGGAGGGGCUACUGCACACCCCCCAAUCCUCGGGGCAUGCUCUUUGCCCUGAGACCCUCUUUGCCUUUCCCUGAGCCUCGGCUUUCGGGAGAAGCAUCUGGAAAAUGUGCAGGCUGGUGGGUCCUCUGCUCCCUCUCUCUGCAUCACUCCUGGCAGAGCACAGAGCCCAGUCCUGCCGGAACGGGAUAAAGGAAAGAGAGAAGUGUACAGAGAGUGUGUGCAGUAUUUCCAAGGCCACCCCAUGGGCCUUAUUCUUCCCGUCUGUUAAAUGCAGAUAGUGCUAAAACCCACUUCACUGAGUUUGCCGAGGAUUACAGAAAGCAACGCACGUGACAGUGGAGCGGGAGACCAGGGUCUGGGGGCAGGGACUUCAGGCCAAUGCGUGCUGAAUCAAGGAAGAACACCAGGGUCUGGGGGCAGGGAAUCUGAGGCCAAUUUGUGCUGACUUCUCAACGCUGGAUCAAAAGGAAAAACAUCUCCCCACCCCGUAACAGAGGAUCAAAGGCCAUUCUCCCUACAGCCCUCCCACUUCCACCAAGAGGGCGAGGGCCUUGGAGUGGCCACAGGGCAUCCCCUCAUCUGCAUAAGGCGCCAAUUCACCUUAGCCUUUUUUUUUUUUUUUUUAGACAAACUCAUGCUCUAUCACCCAGGCUGGAGUGCAGUGGCGCGAUCUCGGCUCACUGCAGCUUCCACCUUCUGAGUUCAAGAGAUUCUCCUACCUCAGCCUCCCGAGUAGCUGGGCUUACAGGCAUGCAUCGCCGUGCCCGGCUAAUUUUUGUAUUUUUAGUAGAGAUGAGGUUUCACCAUGUUGACCAGGUUGGUCUCGAACUCCUGACCUCAGGUAACCCCUCUGCCUCUGCCUCCCAAAGUGCUGGGAUGACAGGUGUGAGCCACUGUGCCUGGCCAAGAAUGUCAUACGUUUAUGGUGUGCUAUGAUCCCUCUUAGGGGUAAAAACAAUUAAUAUAUUUGCUCUAAAUUCCCUCCAAGCUACUCCAGGAGUAUGAUUUGCUAUUCUUUCGGGGUGAAGCCACCUUUGCUAAAUUAUGACUGAGACAGUGAAAGAGAUCUAACGUAACCAACUCCAUCUUCCUCCUAACCUCCAAGCUGUCCUUGUUCAUUCCUGGGCGUAGGCUGAACUAACUUUGGGAAGAACUUAGUUUAUAGUUUAAACAAAGAUGGUAACAGCCCUUUCCCAAAGCUGACCUCCUUCUUGCCUGGGGACUAGAUGGCCUUUGUAGGGCUAACAUUAGCCACAAGAUGAGAAAUGAUGGUUUAGGAGUCACGCAGCAGGAGGCUACAAGAUUCUGACCCUCCCUAAACUGCUCCUAAGAUCAGCCCUUGAGAUAUUGUCCAGAACCUGUACUUGAUGGAUCAGCUGGUACCACCCAGAUCCAUAAACUGGCUCAUCUGCUCUUAUGGCCCCCACCCAGGAAGUGACUCAGCACAAGAAGACAGCUCCAACUCUCUGUGACUUCAUCUCUGACCAAUCACACUCCUGGCACACUGGCUUCCC